rnacentral:rRNA from 1 species
GACGAACGCUGGCGGCGUGCCUAAUACAUGCAAGUUGAGCGAUGAAGAUUGGUGCUUGCCCCAAUUUGAAGAGCAGCGAACGGGUGAGUAACGCGUGGGGAAUCUGCCUUUGAGUGGGGGACAACAUUUGGAAACGAAUGCUAAUACCGCAUAAUAACUUUAAACAUAAGUUUUAAGUUUGAAAGAUGCAAUUGCAUCACUCAAAGAUGAUCCCGCGUUGUAUUAGCUAGUUGGUGAGGUAAAGGCUCACCAAGGCGAUGAUACAUAGCCGACCUGAGAGGGUGAUCGGCCACAUUGGGACUGAGACACGGCCCAAACUCCUACGGGGGGCAGCAGUAGGGAAUCUUCGGCAAUGGACGAAAGUCUGACCGAGAAACGCCGCGUGAGGGAAGAAGGUCUUCGGAUCGUAAAACUCUGUUGGUAGAGAAGAACGUUGGUGAGAGUGGAAAGCUCAUCAAGUGACGGUAACUACCCAGAAAGGGACGGCUAACUACGUG